UGCCGGUUAGCUCAGUCGGUAGAGCGCAAGGCUCUUAACCUUGUGGUCAGUGGGUUUGAGCCCCACAUUGGCAC
rnacentral:tRNA from 1 species